rnacentral:rRNA from 1 species
AGCUACACAUGCAGUCGAGCGGGGAGGGUAGCUUGCUACCUGACCUAGCGGCGGACGGGUGAGUAAUGCUUAGGAAUCUGCCUAUUAGUGGGGGACAACAUUCCGAAAGGAAUGCUAAUACCGCAUACGCCCUACGGGGGAAAGCAGGGGAUCUUCGGACCUUGCGCUAAUAGAUGAGCCUAAGUCAGAUUAGCUAGUUGGUGGGGUAAAGGCCUACCAAGGCGACGAUCUGUAGCGGGUCUGAGAGGAUGAUCCGCCACACUGGGACUGAGACACGGCCCAGACUCCUACGGGAGGCAGCAGUGGGGAAUAUUGGACAAUGGGCGAAAGCCUGAUCCAGCCAUGCCGCGUGUGUGAAGAAGGCCUUUUGGUUGCAAAGCACUUUAAGCGAGGAGGAGGCUACUUGGAUUAAUACUCUAGGAUAGUGGACGUUACUCGCAGAAUAAGCACCGGCUAACUCUGUGCCAGCAGCCGCGGUAAUACAGAGGGUGCGAGCGUUAAUCGGAUUUACUGGGCGUAAAGCGUGCGUAGGCGGCUUUUUAAGUCGGAUGUGAAAUCCCUGAGCUUAACUUAGGAAUUGCAUUCGAUACUGGGAAGCUAGAGUAUGGGAGAGGAUGGUAGAAUUCCAGGUGUAGCGGUGAAAUGCGUAGAGAUCUGGAGGAAUACCGAUGGCGAACGCAGCCAUCUGGCCUAAUACUGACGCUGAGGUACGAAAGCAUGGGGAGCAAACAGGAUUAGAUACCCUGGUAGUCCAUGCCGUAACGAUGUCUACUAGCCGUUGGGGCCUUUGAGCUUUAGUGCGCAGCUAACGCGAUAGUAGACCGCCUGGGGGAGUACGGUCGCAAGACUAAAACUCAAAUGAAUUGACGGGGGCCCG